rnacentral:rRNA from 1 species
GACGGAGGAUGCAAGCGUUAUCCGGAAUGAUUGGGCGUAAAGCGUCCGCAGGUGGCAGUUCAAGUCUGCUGUCAAAGACCGGGGCUUAACUUCGGAAAGGCAGUGGAAACUGAACAGCUAGAGUAUGGUAGGGGCAGAGGGAAUUCCUGGUGUAGCGGUGAAAUGCGUUGAUAUCAGGAGGAACACCCAUGGCGAAGGCAGCAUACUGGCCGGCAUCUGACGCUGAGGCGCGAAAGCGUGGGUAGCAAACAGG